rnacentral:rRNA from 1 species
CCUACGGGAGGCAGCAGUGGGGAAUCUUGCGCAAUGGGCGAAAGCCUGACGCAGCCAUGCCGCGUGAAUGAUGAAGGUCUUAGGAUUGUAAAAUUCUUUCACCGGGGACGAUAAUGACGGUACCCGGAGAAGAAGCCCCGGCUAACUUCGUGCCAGCAGCCGCGGUAAUACGAAGGGGGCUAGCGUUGCUCGGAAUUACUGGGCGUAAAGGGAGCGUAGGCGGAUAGUUUAGUCAGAGGUGAAAGCCCAGGGCUCAACCUUGGAAUUGCCUUUGAUACUGGCUAUCUUGAGUACGGAAGAGGUAUGUGGAACUCCGAGUGUAGAGGUGAAAUUCGUAGAUAUUCGGAAGAACACCAGUGGCGAAGGCGACAUACUGGUCCGUUACUGACGCUGAGGCUCGAAAGCGUGGGGAGCAAACAGGAUUAGAUACCCUGGUAGUCCACGCUGUAAACGAUGAGUGCUAGUUGUCGGCAUGCAUGCAUGUCGGUGACGCAGCUAACGCAUUAAGCACUCCGCCUGGGGAGUACGGUCGCAGAUUAAAACUUAAAUGAAUUGACGG